ensembl:lncRNA
GGAGUGGUGAAGAAGACACUUGACUGACCAGACUGGUCAACCUUGGAGCCAAUGGUCAAGUAGUCAGAUCACCCCUACCGUGAAGUUCAAGCAGCCUGAAUUUCCCUCCCAGGCUGGGACUGGCUGGAGCAGUGAAACGGGCUGUGGGAUGAGGACUCCAGAGAGAGCACCCAGGAAGAGAGCCUGAAGUUAUCAUUCACCCAUCAGAGGGAUCAGGCUGAUGGGUGAAAUUUGAGUGUGAAGCAAAGAGACUAUGAGCAGAGUUAACAAGAGGGAGUAAGUCAGUUUAGUAGAGAGGGAGGGACACAUCCUGAAAAGAUUCCUUGAGGGUCUGGAAAAGAGAAGCAGAACCUGAUCCACUCAAGGUUGACUUUUGGCCCCUAUGUGACUUUGGCUGGUUUCCUGACCUGGAUCCUGUGCCUCAGUUCCCACCUCUGGCAGAUACACCCUUAGCCAGGAGAUCCUUGUCCACCCAUGGAGUUGUUGUACCUCACUAUCAGAAAAGACAAUGCUCUGGAUAUAAGUUACAGGGAUCCAAGAACGUAUCCACCAGUGCAAUGUAUUGUAAAUGAAGACAUAAGAAUUUGGGUUUAUAAAUGUCUGCUGUCACCCUGUUUGUUUAACCUAUACACUGAGCACAUCAUGAGAUGCCAGGCUGGAUGAGUUACAAGCUGGAAUCAAGAUAGGUGGGAGAAACAUCAACAACCCUGAGGUUGUUGCGGAUGAUACUACUCUAAUGGCAGAAGUGAACGGUAACUAACGAGCCUCUUGAUGAGGAUGAAGCGGGACAGUGAACAAGCCAGCUUAAAACUAAAUAUUAAAAACACCUAAGAUCAACUAAAUAUUAAAAAAAAAACUAAGAUCAAGGCAUUCGGCCCCAUUACUCCAUGGCAAAUAGAAGGGGAAUUGUGGAAGUGAUGACAGAUUUCCUCUUCUUGGCUCUAAAAUCACUGUGGAUGGUGACUGUAGCCAUGAAAUCAAAAGAUAAUUGCUUCUUGGUAGGAAAGCUAUGACAAACCUAGGCAGUGUGUUGAAAAGCAGAGAUAUCACUCUGCUUACAAAGGUUUGUAGAGUCAAAGCUAUGGUUUUUCCGGUAGUCAUGCAUGAAUUCGAGAGUUGGAUCACAAAGAAGGCUGAGUGCCGAAGAACUGAUGCUUUCGAACACUCUUGAGAGUCCCUUGGACAGCCAGGAGAUCAAACUAGUCAAUCUUAAUGGAAAUCAACCCUGAAUACUUCUUAGAAGGACUGAUGCUGAAGCUAAAGCUCCAGUAUUUUGGUUAUCUGAUGUGAACAGCCAACUCUUGGAAAUGUCCCUGAUGGCGGGAAAUAUUGAGGGCAGAAGGAGAAAAGGGUGUCGGAGGAUGAGCUAGACAGAAGGCAUCACCAAUGCAGUGGACAUGAACUUGGGCAAACUUCAGGAGAUGGUGAGGGACAGGGAAGCCUGGCGUGCUUCAGUCCAUAGGAUCACAAAGAGUUUGACAUGACUAGGUGACUGAAUGACAACAUUAAUUUUGUACGAGUGUGGUUUCUACAAGUCAGUUUCCUUGAGAAACUGAAGAAUUGACAUGGCCAUGUUUCUGAACUUCCAAGGGCAAGAAUAGAGCCAGGCUCAUACUGCUGUUACCCUGGGAGGGUAUGCAGCGGUUGUCAGCCAGGUGCCAUCUCUCUCAUCACCCUUCUUUUCAACUUCAAAAACAAGCUCAAUAGUUGGCUGUGUAAAUGCCAGCAAGUAUGUCAAUGUCCAAGAGGGUAAGCAAACGUCUCAGAAGGCUAAAAGUCAGUAAUGAAUCAGGUGGGAUGAAAAUGAUAGGAACCAUGUUAAGAAAAAAAAGAAUUGCGUAAUUUAAAAAAGUGACAACAGGCAAGAACAAGCUUUGGAAGGGAAUGAAAGUGAAACCAUGUUGUAGGGAGACCAGAGGAAAAUUUUGCAGCUUGGAUGGAGGACUCUAUCAUGUUAAGACAAGGUGGGUUCAGAAAAACUCAGAAAGUUAUCAGACUGGUCCAUGUGAAAAAAAAACCCCUAGGUUAGGGAGUAGGGGAUCAGGAGAGUCAAAAGUCGGUGACAUGAGGAUGAUAACCUGUCAAUAGGUGGGAAGGGUUUAGCAUUUUCACUGCUCACUCUCUUAGGAAAGACAAUCAGCUGCCUCUAUCCCCCGCGCCCCACAAAAAAAGCUAAAAUACCCAUGUUUAUGGAAUCAUUGCAAGCUUUAGAUUUCUGCCAUCUUUUUGUUGUCUAAAACUUCUCAGGGCACUGCAGAUUUAAAAUGGUAAUAGAUAGGAGGACUUCUCUAAUUGAACCAAGUCUUUGGUUAGAAAUCAUCAAGUUCCUCAGCACAGACCACACCCAAGGAGUUCCUCAGGGAGAACUGCGAGUCACUUUGAAGAGGGUUCUGCAGAGGGCCUGCCACUGCUCUGAUAGCGUCUGCACUGUCCGUUAGGAAGUAGGUCUCCUACAGGUCUGAUCCAGCUGCAUCAAUAUGAGUUGUAAAUUAUUAAUAAAACCCAUCUCUCACAGAAUCUAACUAUUAUUAAUGGAAGAGUCCUAUGUUUGUUUUUAUUAAUAGAUAUCUCUUUACCUUUUUUUGUCUUGUUAUCCUAACUCCAUGGGCAGAAGAAAAAGUAUAUUCACUCAUUAAUUCAUCCAUUCAAAAAAAGUAUAUAUCUACUGGAUGCUAGGUACCUUGCCAAGUUUUGUGGGGGAAAAAAAAAUGACAAAGACAUUUUCCCUGCCUUAAUAAAGCUCACAGUGUAGUCAGGAAGAUAACUUAUAAAGAGUAAUUGGAAUACAG